rnacentral:rRNA from 1 species
CCUACGGGUGGCUGCAGUGGGGAAUAUUGGGCAAUGGGCGCAAGUCUGACCCAGCAACGCCGCGUGAAGGAAGAAGGCUUUCGGGUUGUAAACUUCUUUUAAGAGGGAAGAGCAGAAGACGGUACCCCUUGAAUAAGCCACGGCUAACUACGUGCCAGCAGCCGCGGUAAUACGUAGGUGGCAAGCGUUGUCCGGAUUUACUGGGUGUAAAGGGCGUGCAGCCGGGCAGACAAGUCAGAUGUGAAAUCCACGGGCUCAACCCGGGACCUGCAUUUGAAACUGUUGGCCUUGAGUGUCGGAGAGGUAAUCGGAAUUCCUUGUGUAGCGGUGAAAUGCGUAGAUAUAAGGAAGAACACCAGUGGCGAAGGCGGAUGACUGGACGGCAACUGACGGUGAGGCGCGAAAGCGUGGGGAGCAAACAGGAUUAGAUACCCUAGUAGUC